rnacentral:rRNA from 1 species
ACAGCAGCAGCCGCGGGAAUACAGAGGGUGCGAGCGUUAAUCGGAUUUACUGGGCGUAAAGCGUGCGUAGGCGGCUAAUUGAGUCGGAUGUGAAAUCCCCGAGCUUAACUUGGGAAUUGCAUUCGAUACUGGUUAGCUAGAGUGUGGGAGAGGAUGGUAGAAUUCCAGGUGUAGCGGUGAAAUGCGUAGAGAUCUGGAGGAAUACCGAUGGCGAAGGCAGCCAUCUGGCCUAACACUGACGCUGAGGUACGAAAGCAUGGGGAGCAAACAGGAUUAGAUACCCCUGUAGUCCCUGUCUCUUAUAC